GUGGGGAAUCUUGCGCAAUGGGCGAAAGCCUGACGCAGCCAUGCCGCGUGAAUGAUGAAGGUCUUAGGAUUGUAAAAUUCUUUCACCGGGGACGAUAAUGACGGUACCCGGAGAAGAAGCCCGGCUAACUUCGUGCCAGCAGCCGCGGUAAUACGAAGGGGGCUAGCGUUGUUCGGAAUUACUGGGCGUAAAGGGCGCGUAGUCGGAUCGUUAAGUCAGGUGUGAAAUCCCAGAGCUCAACUCUGGAACUGCCCUUGAUACUGGCGAUCUUGAGUGUGAGAGAGGUAUGUGGAACUCCGAGUGUAGAGGUGAAAUUCGUAGAUAUUCGGAAGAACACCAGUGGCGAAGGCGACAUACUGGCUCAUUACUGACGCUGAGGCGCGAAAGCGUGGGGAGCAAACAGGAUUAGAUACCCUAGUAGUCC
rnacentral:rRNA from 1 species